AUUGAACGCUGGCGGCAUGCUUUACACAUGCAAGUCGAACGGCAGCACGGGUGCUUGCACCUGGUGGCGAGUGGCGAACGGGUGAGUAAUGCAUCGGAACGUGCCCAUGAGUGGGGGAUAGCCCGGCGAAAGCCGGAUUAAUACCGCAUACGCCCUUAGGGGGAAAGGCGGGGGAGUCUUCGGACCUCGCGCUAUUGGAGCGGCCGAUGUCGGAUUAGCUAGUAGGUGAGGUAAAGGCUCACCUAGGCGACGAUCCGUAGCUGGUCUGAGAGGAUGAUCAGCCACACUGGGACUGAGACACGGCCCAGACUCCUACGGGAGGCAGCAGUGGGGAAUUUUGGACAAUGGGCGCAAGCCUGAUCCAGCCAUGCCGCGUGAGUGAAGAAGGCCUCGGUU
rnacentral:rRNA from 1 species